rnacentral:rRNA from 1 species
GCUUACGGCCAUACCACCCUGAGCACGCCCGAUCUCGUCUGAUCUCGGAAGCUAAGCAGGGUCGGGCCUGGUUAGUACUAAGCAGGGUCGGGCCUGGAUGGGAGACCGCCUGGGAAUACCAGGUGCUGUAAGCU